UUCUUUGAUGAUAUAUCCAAUUGGUUUAGUUGUAGGUUACUUCAGGCCCCUGUUCUGCAGGGAGAACCUCCUGCAGUUCCUUCAUUCAUAUGACAUUUCUGGAUCUUCUGAGAA
rfam:Zostera marina strain Finnish scaffold_33, whole genome shotgun sequence.